UACGUAGGGGGCAAGCGUUGUCCGGAUUUAUUGGGCGUAAAGCGCGUGUAGGCGGCCAGGUAGGUCGGUUGUGAAAAUUGGGAGGCUCAACCUCCAGACGUCGAUCGAAACCAUCUGGCUAGAGUCCGGAAGAGGAGAAUGGAAUUCCUGGUGUAGCGGUGAAAUGCGCAGAUAUCAGGAAGAACACCCGUGGCGAAAGCGGCUCUCUGGAACGGUACUGACGCUGAGACGCGAAAGCGUGGGGAGCGAACAGG
rnacentral:rRNA from 1 species